rnacentral:lncRNA from 1 species
UUGUAACUGUGAGAUUUUAUAAUUUAUUCUGUUGAUGGCCUCAUAUACCCUGAUACGGCAGGGCUCGGCGGCCUCUUUCAUCGGAGGUCUUCCGUGAGGGAUGGCUUGGAGCAUUGUCUCUAAGAACUUUCUGUGUUCUAUAAUCGGGUUCUUUAUCUUGGAUCAGAAAGUUACUUUAUGCUCUAGUUAUGUAUAUGAAUUGUUCGACAAGCAGCUGCUUUUUGUGGAUGCAUUUUGUGGUUAUGGCUUUUUGUUUUGAUCUUUAGUUUGGAUCCUGAUAUCUUUUGAUGUCUGUGACUGUUUAUGCAUUUAGGGGAAUGACUAUUGAUCCCUCAUCUUGUUCUUCGCAUACUGUUGAUUUUGUUUUAAAAUUCAAAUCUGUGAAGUUUGGA